rnacentral:lncRNA from 1 species
GCCGACCAGCCCGAGUGGCCUCGUGUAUGCAGAGAAGGGGCGGGGCUAGAGCGGUCUCGACCUCCAGUAGACUUGCCUCCGGCAGGGCCGCGCGGAGACUACAUUUCCCAGAGGGUGCUGCGCGUCGCGGAAAGGAGGGGGAGGAAGCACUUUGACUCCAGUGCGCAGGCGUGAGAGUCUCCUCAGGCUAUUUAAGCGAGGC